GUACACGCUGUGACUAGCAUAUCAAUAAGCGGAGGAAAAGAAACUAACAAGGAUUCCCUUAGUAACGGCGAGUGAAGCGGGAAGAGCUCAAAUUUGAAAUCUUCAAGGUUUUACCUUGACGAAUUGUAGUUUAAAGAAGUGUUUUCUGCUGAAGUUUUGGUAAAAGUUCUUUGGAAUAGGACAUCAUAGAGGGUGAGAAUCCCGUAUUUGACCAUUAUUUUCAGCUUUGUGAUACACUUUCAAAGAGUCGGAUUGUUUGGGAAUGCAGUCCAAAAUGGGUGGUAAAUUUCAUCUAAAGCUAAAUAUUGGCGAGAGACCGAUAGCGAACAAGUACCGUGAGGGAAAGAUGAAAAGAACUUUGAAAAGAGAGUUAAACAAUACGUGAAAUUGUCAAAAGGGAAGCGUUUGACACCAGUGUUGUUUCCUCGAAAAUCAAUUAAAAAUGGCUCGAUUUUGUAUUGCUGAGACCUUAAAAGCUCACUGUACAUUUUUCGUGUCUUUUUUAAUGCACUUUUCGUUUAACAAGUCAACAUCAGUUUCUUUUGUUGUAAAAGGGUCAUUGGAAGGUGGCUUUCUUUUCGGAGAAAGUGUUUAUAGCCUUUGGCCUCUGCAAUCGAAGAGACUGAGGUCUGCAGCGUAGACUCUUCGGGGUUAGAUACAUUUGUGCUAAGUUAUAGCUUUUUAUAGACAACUUGUUGACUAUAAUUAGUCUUGUAGCUUACUCGCUUAUGCUAUUUUACCUACGCUUAGGAUGUUGAUCUACAGAGCGAGAGU
rnacentral:rRNA from 1 species